rnacentral:rRNA from 1 species
UGGCGGACGCAUGUGCACGUCCUGUCCUAUCAUUCCCUUUUCUUGUCAACCUUUUUUUCGAUUUCAAUUCACACCUGUGCACUCAUCGUAGGUCUUCGCAAGGAGAUCUAUGUCUUUUUCAUAACACUCCUUUGUAUGGCCAAAGAAUCUAUCGAAAUAAUAUAUUACAACUUUCAGCAACGGAUCUCUUGGUUCUCGCAUCGAUGAAGAACGCAGCGAAUUGCGAUAAGUAAUGUGAAUUGCAGAUUUCCAGUGAAUCAUCGAAUCUUUGAACGCACCUUGCGCUCCUUGGUAUUCCGAGGAGCAUGCCUGUUUGAGUGUCAUUAAAUUCUCAACCAUGUCUUCAUCGAUAUGGCUUGGAUUUGGGACUUGCUGGCGACGAAACUCGUCGGCUCUCCUUAAAUGCAUUAGCAAAAGGGUUCGGACGUGCACGGCCUUUGACGUGAUAAUGAUCGUCAUCGCUGGAGCGUCCUCAAUGCUCUUUGCUUUCCAAUUCAGACCAUCACUUCCAAGCUUAUCGCUCCCUUUCGGUUUUGGGCUAGUUAUUAGUCAAUGAAAACGUUGGCGAAAGCAGCACAAAGCACAACGUGGGAAAAACAGCUAGGAAUCGGUGUUCAUCUUUUGAAACUGGACCUCAAAUCC